GAAACCGUUCAGGGGUAAACCUGAGAAACCCAAAAGAUCGAAUGGGGAGAUUCAUCGUCGACGAAGCUGGCUCCCGUUGGUGCGCGAUACCCCGAAUGGGACUUAACCUUUCCAAGGCGAGGGUACACCACCUGCGGCGAACGAUCCGGCGACGUAGUCGUGCACUUCUCCCUUAGUAGAACGUCGCGACCCGUUGUGUGUCGGUCUACGGCCUGGGCUAAUUGCCUGUCGCGGCGCCUUCGUAAGCUCGCGGCAGAGGCUCGGUCGCCUGGCCGGCUGCACGACGGUACUCUGACGGUAUCGGGCCGCAACCAAUCCAUUCUCGAAUGUGUGUGCGUCGGACCCGUCGCAAGCUCGGACAGAUUUACUCGGAGUGUGCGGACCUAGUGCCCUCACCGGGUCUGGCCAGCUGUUGGCAGACGGUGUUCUUGGACUGGCCAAGCUUUGAAUUACCGGUCGGCGACGCUACUGCUUUGGGUACUCUCAGGACCCGUCUUGAAACACGGACCAAGGAGUCUAACAUGUGCGCGAGUCAUUGGGACAUGUAAACCUAAAGGCGCAAUGAAAGUGAAGGUCGGCCUCGGCGUCGACCAAGGGAGGAUGGGCCGCUUACGUCCCGGCCCCGCACUCCCGGGGCGUCUCGUUCUCAUUGCGAGAAGAGGCGCACCCAGAGCGUACACGUUGGGACCCGAAAGAUGGUGAACUAUGCCUGGUCAGGACGAAGUCAGGGGAAACCCUGAUGGAGGUCCGUAGCGAUUCUGACGUGCAAAUCGAUCGUCGGAACUGGGUAUAGGGGCGAAAGACUAAUCGAACCAUCUAGUAGCUGGUUCCCUCCGAAGUUUCCCUCAGGAUAGCUGGCACUCGCUCGUUCCUCCGUGAACGUGUGCGAGUUUCAUCUGGUAAAGCGAAUGAUUAGAGGCCUUGGGGCCGAAACGACCUCAACCUAUUCUCAAACUUUAAAUGGGUGAGAUCUCUGGCUUGCUUGGAUCAUAUUGAAGCCAAGAGAUUUUGAAUCAGAGUGCCAAGUGGGCCAAUUUUGGUAAGCAGAACUGGCGCUGUGGGAUGAACCAAACGCAGAGUUAAGGCGCCUAAGUCGACGCUUAUGGGAUACCAUGAAAGGCGUUGGUUGCUUAAGACAGCAGGACGGUGGCCAUGGAAGUCGGAA
rnacentral:rRNA from 1 species